GACGAACGCUGGCGGCGUGCUUAACACAUGCAAGUCGAACGGAAAGGCCCUGCUUUCGUGGGGUGCCCGAUUGGGGAACGGGUGAGUAACACGUGAGUAACCUGCCCUUGACUUUGGGAUAACUUCAGGAAACUGGGGCUAAUACCGUACAGGAUCCCCUGCUGCAUGGUGGGGGUUGGAAGGUUUCGGCGGUUGGGGAUGGACUCGCGGCUUAUCAGCUUGUUGGUGGGGUAGUGGUUUACCAAGGCAUUGACGGGUAGCCGGCCUGAGAGGGUGACCGGGCACAUUGGGCCUGCGGUACGGAGCAGUCUCGUACGUUGGACAAUGGUCGGAAGCCUUGUCCAGCGGGCCGGAGUCUGAUACGAAGGCGUUCCGUUCGGGAAGACGGUCUGCGGGUUGUGAACCGCUUUCGCCUGUGACGAAGCGUGAGUGACGGUACUGGAUAAAUAAGCACCGGCUAACUACGUG
rnacentral:rRNA from 1 species